UGCUGGGGAAGAGUGUUGCCUCAGCUCAAAAGCAGAAUCGGAUCCUGAAGGACCUAAUGACUAGAAACUUCCAGCUGACUACACUCUGCAACUGACUGAUUUGAACGUCUAUAGAAUAUUACAUCUCUUUGACCUGAAGGACUUGCUUUAGCAUUUCUUGUACUACAAGUCUGAUGGAGAUGGCACAUUGCAUAAAGAAACGCGAACCCAGCAGCACUCCUGCCAGCGGCAAUUCUGAGUGCUCAUUUCCACUUUGCCAAGACAUUACAUGGGAAGGCAUGUGCGUUUAAGGGCAUCCAAUUGUUUCUGUAUCAGAACAGCAGCAACAUCCCGGGCAGGCCUUUCCUCUGGAGUUCACGUGUAGGUCGUACUGACACACAACAUGGCCUAAAUGGACCAUGGAGGAGGAAGGGACCCCAAAUCCAGGCCAAAUGGGAGCAGGGUUGUCCUCAGGAGGACCCCAGCUAGAAGACUUUCUCUGGAACCCACGGUGCCUCUCACUAAAGUGCCCCAACGUUGGCACAACACCUACCGAAUUGUUGUUGCUGACUCUCUAUGCCCAUGAUUCAACCAGAACAACAUUGAUUCGUUAAAAGGUGCAUGAAUAAACUUGACUCUGGAAACAA